rnacentral:snRNA from 1 species
GUGCUCGCUUCAGCAGCACAUACACUAAAAUUGGAAUGAUACAGAGAAGAUUAGCAUGGCCCCUGCGCAAGGAUAACACGCAAAUUUGUGAAGUGUUCCAUAUUUCA